UUGAUUUAUACAUUCAAGAUGCAAAGAAACAAAACUGAACUCUAUAUAAAGACAAAAGGAAGACAAAACAAUAUGGAUGUUAAUAUAGAAUCAGAUGAAUUAAACAUUCCAGUCUAUUUCAAAAACUUUAAAAAAUUGGAGCAACUUUUGAUUGAAUAUGCAAAACAAAUACAGGAGCUGUGUCGUCUUAACGACAUAUGCCCAAAAGGAAACAAAGGCCAGAAAAAGAGAAUAAAAGGAUACAUCAAAAGAACUCAGAG